rnacentral:rRNA from 1 species
ACGAGGUUGAUAGGCACAGUGUGUAAGUACCGUAAGGUAUUCAGCUGAUGUGUACUAAUAGGUCGAGGGCUUGACCAA